AUUGGACAUAGUACUACCUCAGGACCUAG
rnacentral:piRNA from 1 species